CGGCAGGCGUAAACAGGAAGAGAAAAGUUAAAAACAAAACAGCGGGAUUAGAAGGAAAUAACACAGCAGGUGCCCUGGGUGGGAGACAUAUGAGCAGGGAUGGAGGAAGAGAGCACAGAAAGUGGGACAACUUCUAUCGAAGCUGAAACACUGACCCAGAACUGUGACGAGGAGGCAGAUGAUUCCCAAAACUCACAGAAAGAGGAAGGCAAUGAUGGUGGAGCCAACGACGGAGAGGCAGAACUCGUGGUGGGUCACAAAAUGCCAAAUAAGGUCCAUCAAACUUUUCAACAACAAUGAAAUUAAAUUCAUGUGCUUUUGCUCUUUGGUUUGUGUGACUGAUGAGGGUGAAGAGGAUCUGUGUAUCAGGGCUGAGGAAGCUUUGCAGCAGGAGGUUGCAGACAUCACAGACACACAGAGGGAUGGGGACAGCCUCCUGCGGUCCCACCUGUCAACAGAAGAAGAGAUGACUGCCACAUCAGCGUCAUCUCAUCCCUCCGUCACACAGAAUCAACCUCCUGACCCAUGCUGGUACUGCCUCAGGUCUCUUGACUCAGAUAAUCGUCCCCAAGUGACUGAACAGG